rnacentral:lncRNA from 1 species
AGGAAGUUAUAAACAAUCAACACAACAGUGAAACUGGCUGGCUACUACUACAACAUUUGACUGAAUCUGUGAAUGCAACGACGCAACUGAACAAAGAUUCAGGAGAUUGUUUCAUAUGGGAAGAGCACUUCGAAGAUAAGUUGAAAUGGCAACAGACCAUUAGCUAUUUUGAACAUCGGAUGCUGUGUUAUUGUGGUCACUCGUUACUUUAACUGACGUAGCUAACGAUAGCUAUCUUGCGACUUUGUGUUGACAAGUAGUUAAUGUAGCUAGCUUGCCAUCAACAAGAGUCGGUAGCUAUCUAGUUAGCUAAUUAUUGACACCUCCAAUAUAGACGUGGAAACGUUAACGGUAGCUAUAUGACAACGUUACGCCAUCUGAUUUGUGGCGUAUGUUUUAUAACCAACCUGCUGCUAACGACCUCCAGCUAGUUGUUGCUAGCUAAGUUACCUAAUAAGUUAUCCAGUAACAAUAGUGUUUAGCUAGCUAACUUAGGUAACAGUUAGCUAUACAUUUUUAUUUUUGGUAACGUUCGUUUCAGAGGAGCUACCAUUGCUACAUUGAUCGAUCUGUUUUGACACAUUUCCUCUGGACACUGGGAUUCUGGGGCUAGCAGAACAGUAUUUAAAGAGCAUGUCUACCUCCAACUUCAAAAACAAAUGUGUCACUCAAGUGAAUUGUGUAUACUGUGAGAGUCUACUCUGCACAAGAGGAAUGAAGGCAGUACUUCUUGCAGACACAGAAAUUGAGCUGUUUUCUACGGACAUACCUCCCAACAGAACUGUUGACUUUGUGGCCAGCUGCUACUCUACAGAAAGCUGCAGAUGCAAACUGAGAGAUAUCGCCUGCCUGAAAUGUGGUAAUGUUGUGGGGUAUCACGUGGUCGCUCCCUGUAAGCCCUGCUUGCUGUCCUGUAACAAUGGCCAUUUCUGGAUGUUUAACAGUGAUGCUGUGUCCACCCUCAACCGACUGGAUGCUACAGGUUAAAACUUCUUUCACUCACUGUCUCCCAGCACACUGGCCUCUUACAGUACCUGCUCAUGAAGAAUACAGACUGUAUCCCAAGAGGAAUGUCCUGAACCCAAAGGAGUUAGUUAAAGUAAAUGUAAAGAAGAAUUUCCCCUAAAUGCAUAGUUUGUGACAAGAUGCAACACCGACUGACACAAUGUUUGGCAUUGUGUGUGUACUCUUCCUAUCUCUACUACCACAUCAGUUUAAACUUGUUGCUGUGGGGAGACCUUCCCGAGCUAGAGGACAGUGAGAACGAGGAAUCAGAAAGCCCAUCAGAGGAGGAGUGUAUCAGGUAGAGAGGGAUGAGAGAUGGAGGAGCAAGACCUACCAGAACCCCCAGGAACAGAUGGAGAAGAAGCAGUGAGCGAAAGAGGAGAGGGGGGCUUACCCUGUGACCACAUCCCCCUUCCCAACAUCUGUCUGUUAGAAACACUCUCCGAUCUUUCUCCUCUCUCUCUCUCUCUCUCUCUCUCUCUCUCUCUCUCUCUCUCUCUGGGCGAAACCAAUGAUAGAACUGGACUGUCGGAACUGCCCUCUCUCCUCAAACUCACAACUGAACCCCCAAUCAAACAAACUCAUCUUUCUGAUUCACCGACGGACAGACAGCCGGAUGGAUGGAUGGUCUCAACAUUUCACAUGGCUGUUUUAUACCCUUUGGGUUGCCUAUUGCCAUUGGACACUGGAUUGAACAUUGUAUGCUGUGUUUUAGAUUUGUGUCAGUCCUGUGUUGGUCCUUGAACAAUCACGAUGAUGUUGUGUUUCGGUUUCAGAAUCUGACAUUGUUUACAUUGAGUAUUUGCCAGUUUAUCUUGUCACUCUUUCAUGAGGAGGGCCAGUGUGAUCAACAAAUGGUACUAGAACAUAGACUAUAGAUACGAGUUUGGUUCUAGGGCGCCUCUGUGGUGGGACUGAAGAUGCUCUAGGAAAACAGAUUAAGCCUAAUUACGCACAUGUCACCCGAACCUGGCGAAGGAGCCAGACAGAAAAUACAUGAUCGUGAAAAGGAAAGUUGACGUCCACUCACUACAUUGUUGACAUAGUAACAAUAUUGCAGCAAAAAACAGUGAGAGCGUUGCUAUCCUAACCCAGUAUGAUUGAACACUUGAACGGUUGUGUGCUUGUCAGAGCACUAUAUGAGUAUACUGUAUAUUUGAGUAUGGAUCACUUAUAUAAAGGAGUGCGUGUGUCGAGCAGAACUUUCUAUUGCUGCUGAAGCUUUUGCUUCAGCCAACCUUCUCGACUUGUAUUCUAAUGGCCUUGGAUCGGAUUUGUAUUCUGUGGAGAACUGACUGUCAUCGCAGGAGGUCAUGCUCACCCUCUCACUGGAGCUAAAAUGUGUUCGCUAGCUUUGUUUUGAUGCAUCGGUGCCCAGCAAGUACUGUCGCAAUGAGUGACAUAUCUUAAAUUAGCGUUAAUAUACCUCCCAGUUCAAGCAGACAAGCUAUGCCUGUGUUAAAAGGAUAUGUUGAAGCUUACAUGGGAAAUUAUUUUGGGGUCGUAACGAGCAGUACGAAAGGUAGACAUGCACACCAAAUACCUGAAAUGGCAGUCACCAAUUUGAAAUGGCAGUCACCAAGGCCCAGCGCAGUCAAAAUGUGAUUGUUUUAUGUUUCCACACUGAGGUUGGAAUAAUACUGUGAAAUUGUGAAUAUGAUGAUAAUGCCCUUUUAGUGUGAGAGCUGUUUGAAAAGACCACCUGAAGUUUCAGCCUGUUUUGGUGGGAUGGAGUUUUGAUGUGCCUGGUAUCACCACCAGGCAGUGAAUUGGUUAAUGGACCAAUAAGAAAGAGUUCCAAACCUCUCGGCCAAUAACAACUAGUUUUCCGUUUCCCCUCCCCACUCAGACCACUCCGAUAGUCUUAGCAAAAUUCUUGCUUGAGAAAUUGCUCUUUGCUAAAAAGCUAUUUUUGCUUAUUUUUGACCAUUUUAAUAAACUAUCACAGCAAGGUACUUGAUUGUUACCCAGAAGUGAGUCCAUAUUGAGAUGAAAGCCACUGCGUUGGACCGUUUUAAAUGAUGUUCUAAGCUCUGGCUUAGUGGAUCACAUCUUAUGAUUAUCUCAAUCCCACAGACAAUCUCUUUCCACUUAAAUGUUCCCUUUGUUUCAUUUUCAUUCACAAAAGCAAUGCUUUGUAGUGUACUGUCGUUUUUUUAUUUUUCUCUGUUUAUUUUACAUUUCACUUGCAUUUGAGUGUUACGUUUGGAGGCUGAUUUUUGUUUUGAAGUUUUACCUUAGUGAAGGUAUCACCUGAGAGCUUCCUAUAGCAUAGGACAAUAGGGAGAUAAUCGAAGACCAUCAAAACAGUGACCAAUUAAAAAAAAAAAUAGAAAUCUCCCUUGAAUAUGAUUAACUUCAGUAGCGUGCUUUUAUUUAUUAAUUUUAAUGUAUGUAUUUAUUAACAGGCAUUUGCUGUGUUUAUACUGAUGUGACUUGCCCUGCUGAAAAAAACAUGUAUAUUCUGAAAUUGCACUGAAACUGCAUUGGUAGUUUGAAACAUUUGUUAUUUUUAAUGCUUAUUGUAUUGAUA